rnacentral:tRNA from 1 species
CCUGUAGCUCAGUGGAUAGAGCAAUGGCCUCCGGAGCCAUGCGCGUGGGUUCGAUUCCCGUCAGGUG